rnacentral:rRNA from 1 species
UAAGUAAGCUUUGAUCCGGAGAUUGCCGAAUGGGGGAACCCAGCAUCUUUUAUAGGAUGUUACUUUUCAGUGAAUACAUAGCUGAUUAGAGGUAGACGCAGAGAACUGAAACAUCUAAGUACCUGCAGGAAGAGAAAGAAAAAUCGAUUCCCUGAGUAGCGGCGAGCGAAACGGGAAAAGCCCAAACCAAGAGGCUUGCCUCUUGGGGUUGUAGGACUCCGAUACGGUAGUCCAGUGAGAUAGUCGAAGGACCUGGAAAGGUCUGCUAGAAAGGGUAAAAGCCCCGUAGACAAAAUUUGACUGGCACCUAGGAGGAUCCUGAGUACGGCGGAACACGAGGAAUUCCGUCGGAAUCCGGGAGGACCAUCUCCCAAGGCUAAAUACUCCCUAGUGACCGAUAGUGAACCAGUACCGUGAGGGAAAGGUGAAAAGCACCCCGGAAGGGGAGUGAAAUAGAUCCUGAAACCGUGUGCCUACAACAAGUUAGAGCCCGUUAAUGGGUGAUAGCGUGCCUUUUGUAGAAUGAACCGGCGAGUUACGAUUACUUGCGAGGUUAAGUUGAAAAGACGGAGCCGCAGCGAAAGCGAGUCUGAAUAGGGCGAAUGAGUAAGUGGUCGUAGACCCGAAACCAUGUGAUCUACCCAUGUCCAGGUUGAAGGUGCGGUAAAACGCACUGGAGGACCGAACCCACGUACGUUGAAAAGUGCGGGGAUGAGGUGUGGGUAGCGGAGAAAUUCCAAACGAACUUGGAGAUAGCUGGUUCUCUCCGAAAUAGCUUUAGGGCUAGCCUCAGAGUAAGAAUGAUGGAGGUAGAGCACUGUUUGGACUAGGGGCCCAUCUCGGGUUACCGAAUUCAGAUAAACUCCGAAUGCCAUCCAUUCAUCUCUGGGAGUCAGACUGUGAGUGAUAAGAUCCAUAGUCGAAAGGGAAACAGCCCAGACCACCAGCUAAGGUCCCCAAAUA